UUUUUUGAGAGUUUGAUCCUGGCUCAGGAUGAACGCUGGCGGCGUGCCUUAAGCAUGCAAGUCGAACGGGACUUAUCCCGCAAGGGGUGAGUUCAGUGGCGGACGGGUGAGUACAAGCAAGGAACGUACCCCUUACUGUGACAUAGCUCGUCGAAAGACGGGGUAAUAUCGCAUGAGGCCUCACGGUCAAAGCGCUUAACCGCGCGGUAAGGGAGCGGCCUUGCCCCUAUCAGCUUGUUGGUGAGGUAAUGGCUCACCAAGGCUAUGACGGGUAGGGGGCGUGAGAGCGCGACCCCCCACAAUGGCACUGAGACACGGGCCAUACAUCUACGGAUGGCAGCAACUGGGAAUCGUUGGCAAUGGACGAAAGUCUGACCACGCGACGCCGCGUGAGGGAUGAAGCCUCUCGGGGUGUAAACCUCUUUUGACCCGCCAUGAAGGUGGGUAGAAUAAGCACCUACAAACUACGUGCCAGCAGUCGCGGUAAUACGUAGGGUGCAAGCGUUAUCCGGAUUCACUGGGCGNNNNNNNNNNNNNNNNNNNNNNNCCGCAUCGUACUUGAAAGCCCGAGGCUUAACCUCGGUGUUGGGCACGAGAUGGGUAAACUCGAGGGAGGCAGAGGAAAGGGGAACUGACGGUGAAGCAGUGAAAUGCGUUGAUAUCGUCAGGAACACCAAAGGCGAAGGCACCUUUCUGGACCUCUCCUGACGCUGAGACACGAAAGCUAGGGGAGCGAAGCAGAUUAGAGACCUGCGUAGUCCUAGCCCUAAACGCAUGCCUGCUAGUUGCCCCGGGUAACUGGGGUGACGUAAGCUAACGCGUUAAGCAGGCCGCCUGGGGAGUACGAUCGCAAGAUUAAAACUCAAAGGAAUUGACGGGGACCCGCACAACCGGUGGAGCGUGUGGUUCAAUUCGAGACAAAGCGAAAGACCUUACCAGGUCUUGACAUGCUACCGUUUUAACCCGCCAGAAAUGGUGGGCUAUCCGCAAGGAUGGUAGCACAGCUGCUGCAUGGUUGUCGUCAGCUCGUGCCGUGGGGUGUUCCCUUAAGUGGGCUAACGAGCGCAACCCGCGUCCAAUGUUAUAAGUGUCAUUGGAGACUGCCCGUGUCCAACACGGGAGGAAGGGGCGGACGACGUCAAAUCAGCACGGCGCUUAUGACCUGGGCUACACACACCCUACAAUGGCGAAUAACAACGGGAUGCUAAACUGUAAAGUCAAGCAAAUCCCUCUAAAUUUCGCCUCAGUUCAGAUUGAGGGCUGAAACCUGCCCUCAUGAAGUCGGAAUCGGUAGUAAUCGCAGAUCAGCAGGCCGCGGUGNNNNNNNNNNNNNUCAAGCCAACAAAGUUGAGGGCGGCCGAAGAGCCCCUCUCAAAGCGCUGAAGCGCUUAGUGAGAAAUUCGAAGCAUGAAUAUCGAAAUCCGAAACAAUAUCGAAAAUCAAAAACAAAAUAAAUUCAAAACGCAUCAGUUUUGAUAUUUGAAUUUUGAACUAGAAUUUGUUUCAAAUUUCGGAUUUAUUAUUUCGGAUUUCUCAAAAAGCUUUCAGCUUUUUGAGAGGGGAGCUAAGCCGAACUCAGCGAUGGGGACUAAGUCGUAACAAGGUAUCCCUAGCCGAAGCUGGGGAUGGAUCACCUCCUUU
rfam:Candidatus Gottesmanbacteria bacterium RBG_16_52_11 RBG_16_scaffold_4133, whole genome shotgun sequence.